CAUCGUACAAAAACCUCUAUCACACUGCAGUGCACACACACACACACACACACACACACACUUUGCAUUGGCAGUCCAUGCUUCAGUGCUCUGCGAGUGUUUAUAGCCCUGUGACUUUAACACUUCAUGACUGAGAGCUGCUGCUCAGCAACUUCACCCACAGCAACCAUGACUUUGAUCAGCGUCUUCAUCUGCACACUGGCCCUCUGGACUCAAGGAUCCAGAGGUCAGGUGACUGUGACUCAGACUCCUUCAGUGCAAACUGUUGUUCCAGGAAACACAGUCACCAUCAACUGUAGAACCAGUAGCAGUGUGUAUAAUGGUAACUACCUAGCCUGGUACCUGCAGAAACCUGGAGAAGUUCCUAAACUCCUGAUCUACAGUGCUACUAGCUUACAGUCAGGGACUCCAGCUCGUUUCAGAGGCAGUGGAUCUAAUACUGACUUCACUCUAACCAUCAGUGGAGUCCAGACUGAAGAUGCAGGAGAUUACUACUGUCAGAGUGUACAUUCUAUCAGUAGUAGCAGGGUGUUCACACAGUGUUAGAGCGUGGUACAAAAACCUCGGUCAGUGAGAGUGCACAGAGAAGCACUGCUGCAGCUGGGAGCGACUGCAGGUGCUGAGGGGGAGGAUGUGAUACAGCACAAUGACACACACUGUGGACGAGAGAAAACACACCACACUAACUCACUCACAUCUUUAUCCCAUUUGAAACAAUUAAGAAAGUAUUUAUUAUGUAUUUUUAUAUUUAUUUUCCUGAAUAUAUGAUUUACCAAAAGAGUUCUUUAUAUUAUUUUUUAUAAUUUUUACAUGUAUUUUAAUAUUACUUUAUAUUAUUAUUAUAUUAGAGUUAAUAUUUUACUAUAUUCUACUAUAUUAAUGAUAAUAUUCCUUAAAUAGAUCCACAUUAUGGAGCUGAGACUGACAUUUAACUGAACAAUUCUUUACUUAUUAACAAACCAUUCGAUAAUGAUUAAUUCAGUCUAGCAUUCUCAAAUCAGCAUAAAUCAGAGAAUUAUGUAAAAGCAUGACAAAAUUUAUAAAUUAAUAUAAUAAACAAACAUUAAAUUUCUAAAAGCUGUAAAAUCUAACAAAUAAAUAAAUAAAUAGAUAAAUAAAUAAACAAACAAACAUGCCAGUGUUUUUGCCACCUUUAUCCUCCAUAUUUGAUUAUGGAUAUGAUCAGACUUACCAAGAUCAUCAAACUUCUCUGCAAACACAAUCAGGUUUGCACACUAGCUUAGUACAGCAACACAUAUUGAAAAUACCCAUGUUACCUUACAACAUUCCUUACGACUUGCAAAGCUGAUUGUGUUUGCAGAGAAGUUAGGCCAGUAGUUCCUGACCGGUUCCUAAACUUUUUGGUAAACGACCCCAAAUGGCCUUUAUGAAUUUUCUGCAAUCCCAAACCUUCACCACCUACAUUUUUUAAAUUCCAGAUUUACAAUUUGGGACUACAGGAAAAUUUGAACAUAUUAUUAUAUCAGUUACAUUUGGGUAAAGUAAGUGAAUAAAAACCAAUGGAAUAUUCCUUGCACUGGUUUACCAGUCUAGUGGGAGGAGUGAACUUGCAUGUCUUGACACAGCUUUUUAAAAAGUCAGGAGGUGUGUUUGAAAGGGUGCAUCUCUUUCCACUGUCACAUACAUAUAGAGGGAAUAAAACACAAUGGGCAUGUUGACAUAGGAAAAUAAUCCACGGUGGGGUGGUGUGAUACGACUCGUCAUGAAGCAGAGGAGCCUGGUUUAUACUUGACACAUGACUUUGUGUGCGCGUGCAGAAGCAGCAGAAACACGAGCGACAUUGUUUACACACUCGCCUGUGUAUCUUAUGUAGGGUGAAUAUGGCUAAAGUGGCACAAAGUGUAAAGUGUAUUAAGCUUGAACCUCUGUAUCUUACUGUGUAUACACGUCACUGAUCUAACUUCCUUACUGAGUUCAUGCUUGGGAAGUAAAGGCUUAAAUUAAUCAAGCACUGUGUCUGUGAUGUCCCUUUCAGCAGAGUGACAUACAUCAUUUCAAAACUAGGAGAUUCAUGGGAAUCAACGUAACAAUCAAUGCUGCAGACAGAGAGGAGGCGGGUCGAACCCCCAGGUAACGAUGAUGAUUCUCACCUGUGUGUGAUUACUGCCAGUCUACUCAUGUGUGCUUUGUUUGUCUGUGGUGAUCCAGAGAGAAAGAAACAGAAAGAGACACACACACACGCACACACACACGCACACCGGGUUCUUCAACUACUAAUGGGAAUAUUCUUCUUAUCAUCAUAAUGCAUAACAGUUGAAGUGUACUCUAGAAUCAAAUAAUAAAAAACAAGAAAAGACAGUGGGAGAUAUGAGAAAACAGACAGGGAAGAAAAGUGCAGUGAGAAAGAGAAGUUUAAAUCAGUGAAGUGAGAGGAGGAGUGGAGCUGUAGAAAACAGGAGGACGAGAGAGGAAUAACAUCUUAGGAUGAUAGUGAGAGCAUGGAAUGUCUAAACCAUCCUACAGAGGAGGGUCAAGGGCUGUGAUAAAUAUUUCACACCUGUAUGACAUAAAAAGAUUUUUUUUAAAUAUUCAUGCAGACUACAAGCAAAAUAAUGCUGAAAUCUAUGUACAUGAAAUUCCAACCAUCACUCCUGAUUUUUAGGGUAAAGAAAUUAAGUGUCCCCCUUUGACAGUGUCACAUGAAAAAGCAGAGGCUCCAAUAAGCAGAGACUCUAAGAGGUACCAUUUUACCUGUGUUUGGGAUUUCUAAAUUUUUGCUUCUGAAUAGUGUAAGAGAGAUGUUAAGCUGUGUAUGAAGGUGUAACGCGCGUAGUUUCUAUAUGCAAGCUUCACAGUUCGUACCGAGCGCUGGCUCGUGGGUUCUUGGCUUUGUUGCAAGGAGGACACCGACAGGGAGCUCGGGAGAUCAUAACACUUGAUUUAUUAAACAUAAGGAGGUGAACAUCAUGAAUUAGCCACAUCCGAUUACACAGUGCACGUCAUCUCUCUCUCUCUACGCUCCCACCACUGCGCGCAAAACCAUUCUCUCCCGCGAUCCUAAUCGCAGGUCUCUGCUCUCACGAUCUUAUUUAAAGUUACAGAACAUUAAUUUUAACCUUAAAUUUCACUCCCUACAAAGGUAUAAUGUUAGAUCAUAUGACACUGGGAUGAUGGUUAAAAAAAAAUGUCAGAAAAUGUAAUAUUUUCAAAAGCGUCUCCCUUUAGCUAUAGACUUGUUUACUUCCGGGUCACUAGGGGUGUCACUGAGGCAUUUUGUGGGUCAAUCUGUGUAAACAUGGCAUCGCAAACACAAAGGAAA